rnacentral:rRNA from 1 species
CUACGGGAGGCUCCAGUGGGGAAUAUUGCACAAUGGGGGAAACCCUGAUGCAGCAACGCCGCGUGGAGGAUGACGCAUUUCGGUGUGUAAACUCCUUUUAUAUAGGAAGAUAAUGACGGUACUAUAUGAAUAAGCACCGGCUAACUCCGUGCCAGCAGCCGCGGUAAUACGGAGGGUGCAAGCGUUACUCGGAAUCACUGGGCGUAAAGCGCGCGCAGGCGGUCUGAUAAGUUGGAUGUGAAAGCCUACGGCUCAACCGUAGAACUGCAUCCAAAACUGUCAGACUAGAGUCUGGGAGGGGAAGAUGGAAUUAGUUGUGUAGGGGUAAAAUCCGUAGAGAUAACUAGGAAUACCAAAAGCGAAGGCGAUCUUCUGGAACAGUACUGACGCUGAGGCGCGAAAGCGUGGGGAGCAAACAGGAUUAGAUACCCGAGUAGUC